CCCGGAGGCUGGAGAUCAGGGAACAGCGGGAGAAGGGCGCAGCAGGUGCCGCGGGGAUCCGCCGGGCGCAGUCGGGCAGGACCUGGGAGGCAAAAAUUCCAUCGAAACGCAAGGAGGACACAGAAACAGGCCUUGGAGAUAAUAACAGUAGCUACCAUUUAUUAAGCAUCCACCAUGUAAAAGACACUGACAGUACUUUAUCUGUAAGCCUUUCCCUCCACCCCCCAACAAACCUGUAAGUUACAACUCUUUGCGACCCCACAGACUGUAGCCCACCAGGCUCCUCAUCCAUGGAAUUCUCCAGGCAAGAAUACUGGAGUGGGUAGCCAUUCCCUCUCCAGGAGGCCUUCCCAGACCCAGGCACCAAACCUGCAUCUCCUGCAUUGCCUGCAGCUUCUUUACUGUCUGAGCCCCCAGGGAAGCCGGCAAGAUACACAUCUCCACUUUACUGAGGAGGAAAACAAGGCUCGGAUUGGCAGGGUUACCUGCCCAAGGUGGCCCAGCAAGUGAUGGAGAACAGGAUUGGAAUUCCUGUCUGGCAGCCUCCCAUGCUCUUGUAAUAAAGGACAAGGUGUCCGGUG